rnacentral:rRNA from 1 species
CAGCAGCCGCGGGAAUACGUAGGUGGCAAGCGUUGUCCGGAAUUAUUGGGCGUAAAGGGCUCGCAGGCGGUUUCUUAAGUCUGAUGUGAAAGCCCCCGGCUCAACCGGGGAGGGUCAUUGGAAACUGGGAAACUUGAGUGCAGAAGAGGAGAGUGGAAUUCCACGUGUAGCGGUGAAAUGCGUAGAGAUGUGGAGGAACACCAGUGGCGAAGGCGACUCUCUGGUCUGUAACUGACGCCGAGGAGCGAAAGCGUGGGGAGCGAACAGGAUUAGAUACCCGCGUAGUCCCUGUCUCUUAUAC